GAGGUUAGGAAAUAUGACAAACAAAGAAGAGAAUGGUUUACAGUUGGGAGGUUGCCUGAAAGAGCAGUUUCAACUAAUGGUUGGGGGCUUGCAUUUAGAGCGUGCGGCGAUAGGCUUAUUGUUAUUGGUGGACCAAGGGCCAUGGGGGAAGGUUUUAUAGAGCUUAAUUCAUGGGUUCCAAGUGAAGGCCCUCCAAGGUGGGAUUUGCUUGCAAGGAAACCAUCUGCAAAUUUUGUGUAUAACUGUGCUGUGAUGGGAUGCUGAAACUUAAAAAAACCAAAGUGUUCUCUGCUAUGCUCUCCAUUGAUGGUGUCUCCCACUUCAACUUCUAGAUGAAUUGCUCAAGAUGGGUUUGUUUUCUUUCUUCUACACAUGAUUUUAGCUGAUGAGUUAUUUCCCAUACUCUCUUCAGAUAUUUUCAACCACUGCGCAGGGAGGCGUGGGGAGGAAUUGAUUUU
rnacentral:misc_RNA from 1 species